rnacentral:tRNA from 1 species
GGGAACGGAUGGGGUACUGGUGUCCCUCCUGGCCUUCAAAGCCAAGUGGGCGGCGUGGUGCGUAGCCGGUCGGUUCGAUUCCGACACGUUCCC